rnacentral:ncRNA from 1 species
GUCUCACCUAUGGCAACAGCUAACGUCGAGUACCCUCGGCCUCUGGCUCACUGGAUUGAUCCGAUUAUUCAAGCCAGCUGUUUGUGAGUCCCAUAAUCAAUUUGCGCCGCAUUGGCCAGGUUGAGGGCCAGACACUGCGCUACCUCGCAGGGCGACGAUACACGGUUUGUGAUCGAUUUUUCCCUGAU